CCUUUGUUGAGUAAUCACCAGCACUGGACAAAGAGAUUCUGGACUUUGAGCCCAUGUUGUAAUGAAGUAAAGACUUUUAGAGACACUGCUAUUUUACAUAGAGGAGGGAUGGAAUUACUUGGAUUGAGAAAAUACAACCUUUGUGUCUCUC